AUUGAACGCUGGCGGCAGGCCUAACACAUGCAAGUCGAGCGAGCGGCGGACGGGUGAGUAAUGUAUGGGGAUCUGCCCGAUGGAGGGGGAUAACUACGGGAAACUGUGGCUAAUACCGCAUACUAUCGGAUGAACCCAUAUGGGAUUAGCUAGUAGGUGAGGUAAAGGCUCACCUAGGCGACGAUCUCUAGCUGGUCUGAGAGGAUGAUCAGCCACACUGGGACUGAGACACGGCCCAGACUCCUACGGGAGGCAGCAGUGGGGAAUAUUGCACAAUGGGCGCAAGCCUGACGCAGCCAUGCCGCGUGUAUGAAGAAGGCCUUAGGGUUGUAAAGUUCUUUCAGCGGGGAGGCGUUACCCGCAGAAGAAGCACCGGCUAACUCCGUGCCAGCAGCCGCGGUAAUAC
rnacentral:rRNA from 1 species